GACAAAGGAUCUCCUGUGAGGCUGGGCUCUCACCACAGGACACAGGCAGCCACAAGCUGCGACAUGGAGUUCUCUGCAGAGGAUCUGGUCGCCGCCACCGAAAUCACAGGAGGCUUCUGCAAAAGACAAUGUUCUCAAAUCCCCCAGGUCGCCACCAUCGGAUCGAUGGAGGAGUCUCCCUUAGCAGGAACCUCUGGGUGGCACCAGGGCAGGUCGGCGCAGGGAGGGGCGCGCUACUCUGUAUCACCGGGCAGGAGAUAGCCCCUGAGCCAAAGGGGGCAUCGGGGCUCACAGCAACCCUGGAAGAUCUGGUGGCUGUUCUUUCGAUUCUUGCAGUAGGUGCACUCCCCACAGUUGGCCUUCUGCUGGCACGGCUCACAGACCCCACAGGCCUUGCGCUUCCUCCUCUCCACCAUUGGCGGCGUAGAAUUACAUGGGGGAGAAGAGGUACUGGCCUGUGUAACCGGCAUGGACAUCGCUGUGGCUUUGACAUCAGCUGAGCCAGUGAUGCUGACCCGAGAAAUCUCUCCUUCCAGUUUGCUGGGAGCAGCCUGAGAACCCUGGGAUCAGACCAGGCUUCUUUGGGUCUUGUCUAGAGAUGUCCAACAAAACCUCACCAACCAAGAAGAUCAACGGGCAGAAAUGACCCCACCAUCACCGUACUAUCCACAGAGCAAGAUCUCCAAGAAGGAUACUUAUGACGCAGGGACAGCCACCCAGACCACAUGCCUUCCUCAGGAUUCCCUUUCUUCUAUUCUAAGGGCUGUCUUUGUUAUUCUUCAUUUUAACUUGGCGUCUGUCCAGCCUCUUCCUAGCCCUUCCAAAACCCUUCAUUGGACAGUCUUUGCUAGGGAGCCCUAUAACAGACACAACACAAUUCUGGGAACCCAGGACUAUCCACUUGAAGGAUGUCAGACCACUUGAAUUCUAUUUCCACCAUCCCUGGCCCUUUCCUCUACUUUCCUUACCAUCCAGAGAUCUCCAGGAGGCCUCCAUAGAGGGAGGCUGUAGAUAUUGGAGGUGCCAGAUCGGAUCUACCAGUCUCAGCGGGCCCCAUGCUCACCAACCUUAACACUCAUUUUCAGCUAUCCAUUGGUGAUCCCUGAGACUAAUGAUGGCAAGUAAUGGCAAAUGGGGGUUGUGGGUAAGCUCUACCCCAAUGACUAUGCCAAAUACCUCAUAGCCAACCUACGAGUCUCACUAGCUCAUACCUGCCUCCAAGUCGGUCUUUACCAUGUUAACAUUCUUUAACAGGACUAUCAAACUCAAAAGGAAGCUCAAGCCACCAUCUCCUGGCUGCAGUACAUAAAAUACACAGCCCAUCUCCUUCUCCUAAGUGCCCAUGCUAACAUCUCAAUGCUUUUUUUGUGCUUUCAAAUCUGGGCUGCUAUUGGCCCACUUCCAUUCUCAUCUCUCUCCAUGAACCCAGCCGGCCCUUACCCACACAAAAGUUACAAAACCAUCC